rnacentral:rRNA from 1 species
GAUGAACGCUGGCGGCGUGCCUAAUACAUGCAAGUCGAGCGAACAGACGAGGAGCUUGCUCCUCUGACGUUAGCGGCGGACGGGUGAGUAACACGUGGAUAACCUACCUAUAAGACUGGGAUAACUUCGGGAAACCGGAGCUAAUACCGGAUAAUAUAUUGAACCGCAUGGUUCAAUAGUGGAAGACGGUUUUGCUGUCACUUAUAGAUGGAUCCGCGCCGCAUUAGCUAGUUGGUAAGGUAACGGCUUACCAAGGCGACGAUGCGUAGCCGACCUGAGAGGGUGAUCGGCCACACUGGAACUGAGACACGGUCCAGACUCCUACGGGAGGCAGCAGUAGGGAAUCUUCCGCAAUGGGCGAAAGCCUGACGGAGCAACGCCGCGUGAGUGAUGAAGGUCUUCGGAUCGUAAAGCUCUGUUAUUAGGGAAGAACAAAUGUGUAAGUAACUAUGCACGUCUUGACGGUACCUAAUCAGAAAGCCACGGCUAACUACGUG